rnacentral:rRNA from 1 species
GACGUAGGGUGCGAGCGUUGUCCGGAAUCAUUGGGCGUAAAGCGCGUGUAGGCGGCUCGGUAAGUCUGCUGUGAAAGUCCAGGGCUCAACCCUGGGAUGCCGGUGGAUACUGUCGAGCUCGAGUCCGGAAGAGGCGAGUGGAAUUCCUGGUGUAGCGGUGAAAUGCGCAGAUAUCAGGAGGAACACCAAUGGCGAAGGCAGCUCGCUGGGACGUGACUGACGCUGAGACGCGAAAGCGUGGGGAGCAAACAGG